rnacentral:rRNA from 1 species
UACGAAGGGGGCGAGCGUUGUUCGGAAUUACUGGGCGUAAAGCGUACGUAGGCUGCUUUGCAAGUUAGGAGUGAAAUCCCAAGGCUUAACCUUGGAAUUGCUCUUGAGACUGCAAGGCUCGAAUUCGGGAGAGGAUAGCGGAAUAUCCAGUGUAGAGGUGAAAUUCGUAGAUAUUGGAUGGAACACCAGUGGCGAAGGCGGCUAUCUGGCCCGACAUUGACGCUGAGGUACGAAAGCGUGGGGAGCAAACAGG